rnacentral:pre_miRNA from 1 species
UGGAAAGUUCAUUGUUCGACACCAUGGAUCUCCAGGUGGGUCACGGUUAGAGAUACACCAACCUGGAGGACUCCAUGCUGUUGAGCUGUUCACAA